CCUACGGGAGGCAGCAGUGAGGAAUAUUGGUCAAUGGGCGGAAGCCUGAACCAGCCAAGUAGCGUGAAGGAUGACUGCCCUAUGGGUUGUAAACUUCUUUUAUGCGGGGAUAAAGUUCGCCACGUGUGGCGUUUUGCAGGUACCGCAUGAAUAAGGACCGGCUAAUUCCGUGCCAGCAGC
rnacentral:rRNA from 1 species